GCGGCCGCCAAAGUUGCGGCGGGGCCGUGGUCUGCCGCGGCUGCCAGCCAUCAAGUGGCUCGUUAAGGAAAUGCAGGUGAGCGGGCGGAGCGGCAGGGGGCUGCACAAGGCGCGGCGCGGAGCGCGCCUCCCGGUCCGAUCCUCGCCGUCCCCCCGGGCCGCUGCAGCCGGCGGCGCCGGGCGCGGAUCUGGGGCCGCUGCCGCGCCCCCGGAGGUGGCCGCUCCGCCGCCCCCCGCCCCGCCCGCAGCCCCCUCCUCCCUCUUCCCCACCCCUCCUCGCUCCCUCUCUCCUCCCUCUUUCCUCUUUCUCUCUCUCUCUCUCUCUCUCUCGCUCGGUCUCUCUUUGCCGGCCUCAUCGGAGAGAGUUGCAGUUCCUUCUGGGCCUGUGUGGACUAGGGGCACAAUCCGUCGCCUGACUGGCAGGAGGGGAAAGUGGAGACUCCUUCAGGUUUCCAAAGAGGUACGAGCAGACAGCAUUAAAUACGUACUUGGAAGUAGAGGAGUUUAAGAAGAAAUUAGAUGGCAAUCAUGAAGCCCAAGCUUUACCUACUGAAAAGCCGUUCAUAGGAGAUAACUUUAUAAAUACAAUCUGAUUGUAUGGAUUUUGAUGGAAUUCUCAGUCUGUUGUCCCUGGAUUUGUGCACUUCACAGGCACAAUGUAUGUAGAAAUACAUGUCAGAAUGUAAACCUAGUUUUUGAAAACAAAUAAAAAUAUUCUAAAUUGUGACCA
rnacentral:lncRNA from 1 species